ACAAUGCGGAACUUUUAGUUUUGCAAUUGGAUUGAGAACAAUGUACAAAUGUUAUCGAUAAACAAUUGGAGGGCAAGUCUGGUGCCAGCAGCCGCGGUAAUUCCAGCUCCAAUAGCGUAUAUUAACGUUGUUGCAGUUAAAAAGCUCGUAGUUGAAAUGUGGGAUGAAGUAUAUAAUGAAUUUAUAAUUCAAUUGUAUAUUGAUUCCCCUCUCCAAUUUAUUAUUAUGGGUAUUAAUUUAUUUGUAAUAAGAAUUGGUCAUUUACUGUGAGAAAAUUAGAGUGUUCAAAGCAGGCAUUUGCUUGAAUAGAUUAGCAUGGAAUAAUACUAAAAGGCUUUUAUGGUCGAUUUAAUUGGUUUGUUCAUAAAAGCAAGAUUAAAAGGAACAGUUGGGGGUAUUCAUAUUCAAUAGU
rnacentral:rRNA from 1 species